rnacentral:siRNA from 1 species
AGACGAAUCUUAGAGGUUGCCGGU